rnacentral:rRNA from 1 species
CGACCGGCGCACGGGUGCGUAACGCGUAUGCACCUACCUUAACAGGGGAGUAACACUGAGAAAUUGGUACUAAUACCCCAUAAUAUCAUAGAAGGCAUCUUUUAUGGUUGAAAAUUCCGAUGGUUAGAGAUGGGCAUGCGUUGUAUUAGCUAGUUGGUGGGGUAACGGCUCACCAAGGCGACGAUACAUAGGGGGACUGAGAGGUUAACCCCCCACACUGGUACUGAGACACGGACCAG